rnacentral:rRNA from 1 species
UACAGAGGGGGCAAGCGUUAUUCGGAAUUACUGGGCGUAAAGGGCUCGUAGGUGGCCAACUAAGUCGGACGUGAAAUCCCUCGGCUUAACCGGGGAACUGCGUCCGAUACUGGUUGGCUUGAGUUUGGGAGAGGGAUGCGGAAUUCCAGGUGUAGCGGUGAAAUGCGCAGAUAUCAGGAGGAACACCGGUGGCGAAGGCGGGUCUCUGGGCAGUAACUGACGCUGAGGAGCGAAAGCGUGGGGAGCGAACAGG